rnacentral:rRNA from 1 species
CAGUAGCCGCGGUAAUACGUAGGGUGCGAGCGUUAAUCGGAAUUACUAGGCGUAAAGCGUGCGCAGGCGGUUAUAUAAGACAGAUGUGAAAUCCCCGGGCUCAACCUGGGACCUGCAUUUGUGACUGUAUAGCUAGAGUACGGUAGAGGGGGAUGGAAUUCCGCGUGUAGCAGUGAAAUGCGUAGAUAUACGGAGGAACACCGAUGGCGAAGGCAAUCCCCUGGACCUGUACUGACGCUCAUGCACGAAAGCGUGGGGAGCAAACAGGAUUAGAUACCCCAGUAGUCCCUGUCUCUUAUAC